AGCAUCACUUCUACAUUCCUCAGUUUAAAAUCAUGUAAUAUCUUGAGCAGUAAAACUAGAAAGAGAUUUUUUCCUAAUAGGUGAAAUUUAGCUGUCUUUCGGACAGUGGAUAUGGAAAUAUCAUUUAUGAUUAUUUCAGAUGGGAGAUAUUCUUGGUCCUGGUGAAUUCCAUAGCAGGAAUUUAAAACAGGACUCUUUGUUGUGUCUGCUUGGAUCACUUACAGCCCUUGGUACCUGCCUCUUUGGAAGGCACCUCCGGUCACAUCAGGAGCAUGGAUGGGGCCCCACCUGCAUACACAUGGAGAUGGACUCAUCCUCCAGCUACUUUGGAUACCGUGGCUCCCAUUUUUCUACUUUCUCUGAAGGAUUGAAGCCACCUUGCCCAGAAGUCACUGGGAGUUAUGCCUCCUCCCUAAGGAUGGCCCACAGCCAGUGCCUCAUUGGAGCAAGAGGUACAGAAGCCCUGCUCCCUCAUCUGAAGAUGGGGCAGGCUCCGCAGUGCAAUCCAUGCACCCGAGCUCCCAUGGCAUCAGACUGACAUUGCUGGAAGCCACAGUCUUCCUCAGCUUCUCCUUCCCUGUCCUGCUUCCCUCACUCCCUUAUGGUUUUCUCCUGAGGGCACUCCCUUAAUAAAUCACUUGCGUCAAGAAUCCA